rnacentral:tRNA from 2 species
ACUACUUUGGCAGAUAAGUGCAAUGGAUUUAGAAUCCUUGAAUGGAGGUUAUGUCUUCAGGUAGUA